GCCCUGGUAGUGUAGUGGACUAUCAUGAAGCCCUGUCGCGGCUUCGACCCGCGUUCGAAUCGCGGCCAGGGCG
rnacentral:tRNA from 1 species